rnacentral:rRNA from 1 species
GCAACCUACCCUUUACAGGCGGAUAGCUCGGGGAAACUCGAAUUAACCCGCCAUAAUAUAAUUGGAUGGCAUCAUUUGAUUAUUAAAUCUGCGGAGGUAAAGGAUGGGCAUGCGUCUGAUUAGUUAGUUGGUAGUGUAACGGACUACCAAGACGAUGAUCAGUAGGGGAACUGAGAGGUUGAUCC